AGUGAACGCUGGCGGUAGGCCUAACACAUGCAAGUCGAACGGCAGCACAGUAAGAGCUUGCUCUUACGGGUGGCGAGUGGCGGACGGGUGAGGAAUACAUCGGAAUCUACUUUUUCGUGGGGGAUAACGUAGGGAAACUUACGCUAAUACCGCAUACGACCUACGGGUGAAAGCAGGGGAUCUUCGGACCUUGCGCGAUUGAAUGAGCCGAUGUCGGAUUAGCUAGUUGGCGGGGUAAAGGCCCACCAAGGCGACGAUCCGUAGCUGGUCUGAGAGGAUGAUCAGCCACACUGGAACUGAGACACGGUCCAGACUCCUACGGGAGGCAGCAGCGGGGAAUAUUGGACAAUGGGCGCAAGCCUGAUCCAGCCAUACCGCGUGGGUGAAGAAGGCCUUCGGGUUGUAAAGCCCUUUUGUUGGGAAAGAAAAGCAGCAGGUUAAUACCCCGCUGUUCUGACGGUACCCAAAGAAUAAGCACCGGCUAACUUUGUG
rnacentral:rRNA from 1 species